UACGUAGGGGGCUAGCGUUGUCCGGAAUCAUUGGGCGUAAAGCGCGUGUAGGCGGUCCGGUAAGUCUGCUGUGAAAGUCGGGGGCUCAACCCUCGAAUGCCGGUGGAUACUGUCGGGCUAGAGUGCGGAAGAGGCGAGUGGAAUUCCUGGUGUAGCGGUGAAAUGCGCAGAUAUCAGGAGGAACACCUAUUGCGAAGGCAGCUCGCUGGGACGUAACUGACGCUGAGGAGCGAAAGCAUGGGGAGCGAACAGG
rnacentral:rRNA from 1 species